AUUAGACUACAUGCCAUUUCAGAGCAGGCUGGAGGGCAGAGGCAGCUGAUUCUAACCUGAUUACUGAUGCAGACUGCCUUCUUUCACCCUGUUCCUGUGCAUUGCAGCACCUGACCGUGCCAGCAACCAAGAGUAUUUUUCCUUAAAUGCCUUGGCUGAACUAUAAAUGAUGAAAAUAAUAAGGUUCUUCCUUGAACACUGGUCUUAAAUGUGCAACAAAUGCUAGGCGAGAACUCUUUUAUUAGAAAGCAUCUUGUAUUUCUCAAUAAUUUUGCCAAUAUCUGUUCGAGAAGUUCCCACAAAAAUGUUCCCCCUGAGAUGACAGCCUCAUCAGCAUGGAAGAGGGAAAAAGGGAUUUUUUUUUCCCUGAUAAAAUGAACUGUGUUCAGAUGGCUGUAACCUGGGAAUAUUGCAGCCUUUGGUGAAGACUUUAAUACUUAUCUGUGUGUUGCUGUAAAAUAUUAUUGACUUUGUUAAACAUAUGUGAUUCUCUGCACCAGCAGGUCUUGCAGGCACUGAGGCAGGACUGAGCAGAAGGUGCUGCUCCCACCCCAGAAGGGCAGAGGACAUCCCACGUGUGCUACCAAAUCCUAAACAUUCACGUCAGUACUGCUACAACACAUCUGGUCCUCAAAGUCCAGAUUCCAGCAGGGAUUUGAUGACAGCGCAGGGCAGGUGAGCCUGGUGGGCAGGAGGGCACUGCUUUGCAGCUCCACACUGGACUCCUCCAGGUAACUCCUACCUUAGCUGGCCAAGUACAGCCAGGUAACUUCAAUGUGUAAAGUGUAAAUGUAAAAACUGACUGCAGGGGUUGAAAUUUUGCUGCAGAGACAUACUUGUAAUGUGCUGGCACAAAAAAAAAUUAUGCCUUGGUGCAAGGCUCUAUUUUUUCCACUUUUUUUGCCUCUCCAGUGUUCUUAUGACUCUUACAGCUCUAAAUCUGCUUCUCAUCUUUGGAUGCAAUAUUGGAAGCAAUAAAUAAGCCUGCUUUAGCACUCUGUUAAAGUCAGAAGUGAUUAUUAGGCGCUGAAUCAGGCUCUAAGGGGCGGAAUGGUUCAUACUCAUGUAAAUCAAACGCCUCCUUGCACAGCAGCCAGGACUGCAGCUGCACCCUCCUCCUAUCAAACUUGUAUCAGACUCAUGUCUGAUGUUACACUUGACUGCACUUGUAAAGAAGGUUUCUUGGCUGGGGAUUGAUUUUGCUCUCACUGAUUUCAGCAGACAAAAAAAGCACAUCUCUGUUCUUACCUGAUAUGCAAGCAGGAGUCGUGAGCUCCCAAACUUUCACCCUGGAGGAAAGACUCCCUUAAACACUGGGAUCUCUCCUCUGAUACCUCAUGAAUUUAUAUUGAUAUUCUGGUAUUUCAUAAGUCAGGAAAGAGAUUACAGCUCUUCAUCAAAGCUUUUAUUUCCCUGGUAGCAGCAGGCUGAGCCACUGGACCCAGGUGACCACAUCAUCCCCCCUCCAACUCCUGCCACUGUCAGUGCGAGUUAACAGCAAACAGGGUGAAACACUUCCAAGAAAGCAGCCAGCCUUUCCUCUAGGCAGCAGAUGUUUCCCCCCACCCAGAAGGCUUCUCAGCCCCAACAUCCCCCUCCUGUACACAUCCCAGUGGACCUGGGCUAAUGACUCGUGCCCAGGUGCCGUGGGCAGGGCGCCCACUCCUGCUCUGCGCUGUCCCCCGAGCUGCUUGGCAUCUCUUGAAGUAUUUAUAAACUGACUGAGACACAUUCACUGUGGGUAUCAGCUUUCACGGGAGCCAUAUGCCACUUUAGAGGACAAAGUAUAAUCUUCAAGGGAAAAAAAAAACCAAGCAACUUCAUGCACUUCCUAAUCAUUCAUAUUCUUCCGAGCCAUCCAUUUAUUGCCUCCCAUUCAUCUCUGUUUUUAAUGACUCAGCGGGUGAUUUCUUGCUUACACUGAAUCAGACCCAAUGCUAUUAUCUCUCUGCCAUAGAUUUCCUCAUUUUGCUGCAAGAUUUCUACUUUUUUUUUCCACUGUACAGCUGGUUCCAGAGUGCCAACAUUAUCGAGUCAACACAGCAGAAGCAGCAAGGCAAUGAAAGCAUAUGAUUUGUAUUUCCUGAUGAAAUCUGUAAAGACCUCCCCCCCCCAUAAUAUUUAGCAUUAAGUCAAUAGUAAAACUUACAAGCUUUUCAUCAGGUGAUCGUUUAAAAAGUCACAGGACCAAUUAAAAACAUUUUGUAUUUCUGCCAAGGAUUGUGAUGAGAUUAAUGUUGCAAAUUAACUCAUAACUGACAUGCAAAAUAAUCCCAUUUGCUGAAACAUGGCCAAUAAUAGUUAAUCUUCCCUUCCACAUUACGGUUUUUGACUUUUCUAUGGUAUUAUUGUGGCAAAUAACAUCUAUACAUAAUUUCUGCUUUUCCACAGCUGAGUACAGUUUAUGAGUAGACUUAGUAUUUUUUCAGUUCUAUUGCAUAGAUGGAGAUAUUUCCUAAUGAUCAGGGGUAAGGGAUUAAAAAUGACCUGGAAGUGUGCUGCAAACAGAAGAGGAGCAGCCCCAGGCAAUGCUUCUGUACCUGUGAUGGGUCUCCUUCAUUUUCCUCUGGGCUUCCUCUAUUUUUAUUUUCCUCAAUGUGUGAGUGAGCCUGGACUUACUGACCAAGUACCUAGAAUCUGGGAAAGUCCACAUCCAAGUACCAAGCUCAUAUUACUGCAGCAAGGGAUAAAUUCAUCUGGGUAUGUCCAUUCAACUUCUCUUGGUAACACACACUGAAUUUUCCUUGGAGAGUUUGGCUUCAGAGGAUUAGCAGCACUCCUUCUGUCAUGGCUGAUAAACACCAUAUGGAUCAAGGGUAAUCCACUGGCUGCCUUAGGAGUGGGGAAGCCUCCCAGAAGUGAGAUAAAUCCACAUCCCAGUCCUGUGAACAGGGCUUGUCCUUAGGGCACUGCUUCAGUGCAAGGCAGAUAAAAGCAAGUAUGGGACGAGUGAGUUGUUCUGAGUAACACUGAACUGUUUUCCUGGCAGCAGAGGAACUUCACCCAGCUCACACCACGUGUAAACCUGACACUUUUAGCCCACUUUUAAAAAGCAUCCCUUUGAAUCAGCAAUAAAGAGGAUGCUGCUAUUGUGGGAUUGGCACCAGGACCGGACUGGAGCCUUUGGUAAGCAAUUCCUGUGGGAACAGCAUGGUCCUGCACACAUGGAAAAGUUCAGGAGUGAGAAACACACCCAGAGAGCAACCAGAUGACUGUGUACUGAAUGCUGUGCUCACCAGCAGUGCUGCAGGGACAGACAGAGGAUGAGGGGGGAUGUCCUAGGAAUGGGGGGCAAUAGGAAUAUCCUGAGCCACCCCUCAUGUCAGAGACCUGCUUUUACAUGAUUAGCCCUACUGGAAUCUGAAGCAUGGAAGAGAGCAGCAGAAACUGGCUUUGAAUUAUCACAUGAGCAAGGACAUAUUUAUAAUUACAUAAAUUCCAAAUAGUAGAGCUUAGCAGUCACAAACCCUGUGUUUGUUUUCCAAGUGCUUUCCAUUUGUUGGGAAAUUAUUGCAAUUAUAUGCAAGAAAUCAGGAAGGUGGCUUGGAUAAUUUUCAAUUAGCUGCUUGAAAAUGCUUUGAAGAUAAAUUUAGCCAGAUUUUCUGAGUCUAUUUACUUGUUCCAGCUUAUCUGUGCAAAUACAAUUGGCUGCAGCUGCCUCAGACCAUCUUUAAAAACUUGCAGUGCCAAUGUAUGGAGCAGUUUUAACCUGGGCACUGCUUUUUGCCAUAGCACAGAUUAACCAGACAAAAGAGUCUUUUAUGCCAUAAUUCCUAACUCUCUCUCCCUAAUGUCACUCUUGCUUUAAUGUCUUUUUCCUACCCAUACAUUUGGCCAUUGCUGGGAAGGUUUCCAUGCUGGCACAGCACUGUGCUCUCCAUCCCUGUCACUGCCCAUGGAGCUGGGUGUUUCCAGAUACACCACCAGCAUUUUCCCAGCCCCUAGCCCUGCAUGGUGUAAUUUUCCACCAUUUGGAUUCUUACAACCCAUUAAAGAAUGUUCUGUAUUCAGCACACUCUUUCUGCAUGAGCUGCUGGUCAGCUCUUCCCAAGGAUUACCAGUUAGUUCCUACAGCUGUCUCCUCUUUGUUUCCAAGCAGAAGAUGCAGACUCAGGCAAAUCCUUUAUGAUGUAAGAAAUUAAACAAAAUGAGCAAAACCCAAAUAAAGAAUGUGAGACAUGUGA